rnacentral:rRNA from 1 species
GCAUAUCAAUAAGCGGAGGAAAAGAAACUAACAAGGAUUCCCCUAGUAACGGCGAGUGAAGCGGGAGGAGCACAAAUUUUAAAUCUACCCGGUUUUGCUGGGUCGAGUUGUAAUUUAAAGAAACGUUUUUGACGUUCCUGGUUGGUUUAAAUCCUUUGGGAUAAGGUUAUCAUAGAGGGUGAGAAUCCCGUAUAUACUAACCGCUGGGAUGUUAUUAAUACGUUUUCGAAGAGUCGAGUUGUUUGGGAAUGCAGCUCUAAAUGGGUGGUAAAUUUCACCUAAUGCUAAAUAUAAGCGAGAGACCGAUAGUGAACAAGUACCGUGAGGGAAAGAUGAAAAGAACUUUGAAAAGAGAGUUAAAUAGUACGUGAAAUUGUUGAAAGGGAAACGGUUGAAGUCAGUCAUGCUGGCAGGAAUCAAUCUUAAAGUUAAAUUUGAGGUGCACUUCCUUGCUUGGCAGGUUAGCAUCGAUUUUAAACGUCAUAAAAUGAUUGGGGGAAGGUAGCUCCUUUUAGGAGUGUUAUAGCCCUUAGUUAAUGUGAUGUUCGGGAUCGAGGAUUGCAACGGAUACCCAUUAGGGCUAGCCGCCUAGCCUCUGAUAUGAUGUUGGGUCAUGGACAGCACGCUGACUGUGAUCUGAUUAUCUUUCAAAAGGUUAGAGUGAACAUAAAUUCGUUAAGGAUGUGACGUAAUGG